AAAAAGUUUUAUUUAAGCUUAAAAAAUUAAGUUAAGUUUUGUUUUAUAUGUAAAGUUUUAUGUGAGUUGAAAUUUAACUUAAAAAGUUAAUUUAUUGAUUUUGUUCGCAGUAGAGAAAUUUAAUUAUCAGUGAGAGCUGGAUUUGGAAAUAACUUUUAAUAUCAACAAAAUUUGUGCCAGCAGUUGCGGUUAAACAGGUGAUGUAAUUUAAUUUUAUUGGUUACAGUUAAAUAUAAAGGAAUAUUAAGUUUUAAUUUUUAUUUAUUAGGUGAAAUUUCUAAAUGAGUGUAAAAAUUUAUUUUUUGAGGCUGAUAAAUUCUUAUUUAAACUAGGAUUAGAUACCCUAUUAUUUUGAAUAUAAAUUUGUAUACUUGAUUAGUAAUAGAUAUGUUCUUUAAACUUAAAAAUUUUGGCGGUAUUCUAGUCCUUUCAGAGGAACCUGUCCUAUAAUCGAUGAUCCACGAUUUUCUAUACUUUUUUUAUUAGUUUAUAUAUCGUUGUAGUUUGAAUAUUUUAUUAGAUAAUUUAAUUUUCAUAAUUUUUUUUUAAAAAUAAAAUCAGAUCAAGGUGUAGCUUAUAAGAAAGAAGAGAUGGGUUACAUUAAAUUUAUUUAUAUAUAUUGGUUUUUUCAAGAAAUUGAUGUUUUGGAUUUGAAAGUAAUUUUAGUUUAAUAACUAAUUUGAUUUAGGCUCUAUAAUAUGCACAUAUCGCCCGUCGCUUUCUCUUUAAGGUGAAAUAAGUCGUAACAAAGUAGACUUACUGGAAAGUGAGUCUGGAAAGAU
rnacentral:ncRNA from 1 species